rnacentral:rRNA from 1 species
UACAGAGGCCUCGAGCGUUAGGCGGAAUCACUGGGCUUAAAGCGUGUGUAGGUGGAUGCCUAAGUACCUUGUGAAAUCCCACGGCUUAACCGUGGAAUGGCUGGGUAUACUGGGUGUCUUGAGCCACUCAGGGGCUACCGGAACAAAUGGUGGAGCGGUGAAAUGCGUAGAUAUCAUUUGGAACGCCAAUGGUGAAAACAGGUAGCUGGGGGUGUGCUGGCACUGAGACACGAAAGCCAGGGGAGCAAACGGG